rnacentral:rRNA from 1 species
GACAGAGGAUGCAAGCGUUUAUCCGGAAUCACUGGGCGUAAAGCGUCUGUAGGUUGUUUAAAAAGUCUGCAGUUAAAGGUUGAAGCUUAACUUCAAAAAUGCCGUAGAAACUUUUAAACUAGAGGAUGGUAGGGGUAGAGGGAAUUCCCAGUGAAGCGGUGAAAUGUGUAGAUAUUGGAAAGACCACCGAUGGCGAAGGCACUCUACUGGGCCAUGACUGACACUGAGAGACGAAAGCUAGGGGAGCAAAUGGG